rnacentral:lncRNA from 1 species
GACAGACUCACUGAGGAAAAGAAAUAUUCAAUGAAAGCCAUGAAGGAGAAGAAUAAAUAGUUCAAAGAGCUAUGGGAACCCGAACGUAUGCUCUCACUCCUUGUCUCAAGCCUUGGCUGCUCACCCUUAUUAUAGAAGGGGAAGCCUCCAAGGUUGAAACGGUUCAAUCGAGCUAACUUCUUCUUCUUCAACACCAAAACCGGUUCGAACAGAGAGAAGAGAGAGGGAACCGAAAGCUAAAACCAACAUGCAAUUACCUCUCUCUCAUCCCUUUUCUUCAAGCUUCAUCAAUCUGAGCCUUCCAUCUUGACUUGGUCCCCAAGAAGGAUUUCUGACCCUUGAUGAACUCUUGAUCCUUGACAGCUCCAUCUGCUCCACUUUUGCUUCCUCCUCCACAUAGCUAUAGUAGCCACCUUCUGUGAUGGAUGAACAAAAAGUAGAAAUGAGCCAUACCACAGGGAUCUUCUUCUCUGACCGAAAUGGAUUGCUACCACUUUUGGCAUGGAGAUCUUGAAACUUCUUCACCACAUCUUGCCAUUAGUAGAAAAGAUCUCAGCCACGCCAUGCUUUGGAUCUUCCUUUUUUGCAAAGGCCAUUAUCCUAGCCUUUUGCUUCUUCCAGCUUCUCUGUAAUUUCUCUGAUAACUUCUUCUUCUUCUUUCUUCCAUCUUCUUUUUUGAUGGAUGUGACAAAUAAAACAAGAGAGAGAAGAGAGAGUAGAAACAAAGCAUUGAUUGUUAGAUUAAAUGAAAUUGAAAUCCUACUAACAAUCCCAAUGCAUAAAGUAACGUGUGGAGCAAUUAAUGCCAUCAAAUCAAUUUUAAUUUUUUCUCUCCUAUUACCAAUGCAUGCAAUAAAAUCAAGUUAAUAAAUUUUGAAUUCCAUAAGCCAUGGAGGAAUGUAACCGUGGAAAGCAUGCACUCAAUUUGAAUUUGGAUCUCACCAAAGUAAAUGGGUAAUAGAAACCUCAUGCUCCAUUUCCUUUUUCUUUUGAUUUUGGACCAAGUCUUGUUGGUCACCUAACAAAAAUUAAUUUGGGCUACUCACAUGAUACAUGGCCCAAAUUACCUUUGCAAAAUAAUUCAGCCAUACUCUUAGAAAUCUUUUUGCACAUUGGCUGAAUAUUUUUUCAUUAUUUUGGACUAUGUUGUUUUUAGCCCAAAUAAACAAAUCAAAGCAUGUGAGAGAGUGAACAUUUUUGUGAUCACCGUAUGGAGCCUUUGGUCACUUAAAGAGAUUGCAUUAAGAUCAUUGAAUGGCUUCUUCCAAGGCUUUGGGUCACUUGUUUCUGUCUUUAAUUUAUGAUGGGUUUUGAUGGAUUUGGGCCUCCUUGGAUUUCUUUCUUUCUUUAAACAAUCAGCUACUAACAUUUGAAUUAUUUUUGCUCAAAGCUAAAUUUGUUCAAAGAUCAAUUUGGGCUUGUGUAACUUUGACCCAAUAGAAAUUAAAUUGCUUGCUUGCACACUUGAACACAAAUCAUCAAACAACCUAUUGGAAAUUAUUAAAUAAAACACUUAAUAAUAAUUUUAAUAAUUUCUUAAUUUAUAUUUUAAUAAUGUUUGAUCAUCAUUUCAGUUUUUCAAACUUAACAAUCUCCCUCUUGAUGACAAACAUUAUUAAAUUGAAUUGAAAGAGUUAGGAUAGAUAACUUCCCUUUGAAGAUUUGCCAAAAUCUCCCCCUUUCUUUUGUUCAAUGUGCUCCCCCUUAAUGUGUGCUUGAUUAAUAAAAUAUUUAAGAAAGCCAUCACCUGUAUACAAGCUCUAAAGAGUUCCAAGAAGAUACAGAUUUCAAAACAUAGAACCUUUAAGAUCGAGCCAUUAUUUUCACAACAUGAUCCAGAUAGCACAUGUAUGUAUACUUAAGCAAAUAAAUUUUUCAAAAUAUAAUUAGAGCUCAAGUUGAAAUUCUCUAACACAGAGUGCUCAAAACAAUGAGCCAAAAUAGAGCACAAAUAUGAAACAAAAUGCUCAUGUCCAAACAGGACAGCAACGAAAUAGUUUCAAUUCAGCAAUUUAGCUCUUCUUUCAUUUUUCUUCCCCUUUUGUCAUUAAAGAGGGACAUAUCAUAUGUCAAAAGUUUGCAAGGAUCUUAUCAAUUUCCAAAAACCAUCAGCCAGCCUUGAAAGAAGCAUGAAUCAGAGCUAAACCAAGCAUUAAUUAAAUACUAUUUAUUCACAGGCUCAUAUGCUAAGCUAUAAACAAUAUUCACAACCAGAUGAAACUGCAGAUUUUUAAAUACAAAUUCAAAUAAUAAACAGCAGCUCAAACAUCAUCAUAGAUAAAAACAAACAGCAGCAACAAUAGCUUCAAACAUUAUUAUCAUAGAUAAAAACAAACAGCAGCCUUUUAAUUCAUUUUUCUUUCUCCUCCUGCAUGGAAAAAUAGUUCACCAUAUAUACAAAAAGUGUAGAGUAGGUAAAAAUGUAAAAUCCAAGUUACAGUCACCCAACAGAAUUCAACAGCUGAGAUCCAAAAAUAGAACCAAAAUUAUGAUAAACUAAUGUUUCAGAAAAAGUUUUUCAGAAGCAACAUCAUGGAGCAGUCUUAAAAAAAAAGAAAACUCAAAUACCAAAAUAAAAAAAAAAACUAUAAUAAGUAUAAGCAAUAUUCACAACCAGACCAAUAUGCAUAUUCAUAGCUGCGUGAAAUAAUAGUGAAAACCCAAGAAAAUUGCAACCAAUCUCAAGCAUCAUAAGUUCAACUGUUUCACUAUAGCUGUUUCAAUUUAUUUUCACACAAUACUUACUCCCCCUGUUGUUAUUGAGAAUAGUAAAUCUGCACACAAAAACAGUUCAAUAUGUAAUCCACAAGUGCAAAACAGGUAUGAGUGUAAGUGUCAACAGAAGUUGUAAAAUUUAUCAUAAAAAAAAAACUAUAAGAAAUUAGCUGCAUCAAAUCGGACUAGACAUCAGAUCCCUCAUCCUUGGUUGUAGGAGGAUCUUCCUCUUCUUUCAAAAUUGUGUCCUUGGCUGCCUUUGUGCCCUUUUUCUUAGAUUUCUUUACAGCACCACUACCUUUAAGAUUUAAAAUUUUGUCUUGGGUUUCAUUACUCAGAUCGACACCACAAUACUCAAAAAUACAAGUUAAAAACAUUCUAUAAGUAAGAAAAAUGGGAGUAGUGGAGAAGAUGAGAAGGUAUCAUAAUAAAUGCUUUAAAUGUUCAAAAAUCUUUUGAAAACCCAAACCAAUUCAAUAAAACGAGAUUUAAAGAAUUUUGAAUUUUAAAAACAAUACACGCAGUUUUGAAAUGACAAGUCAAAUAAAAGAUUGAAAAGAUUUUGAAACUAAUUUGACUUGAAAAAUGAUGAAUGUAAAUACUCUCAUUUUUGGUGUAUGUGAUCAAAACAAGUAAUGAGACCCACUACAUAAAAUAAAACAACUUUCUCUUGGACUUAGUAGUGGUUUUAAGGAAACACAUUUGACCACCAAAGAUUUAUUUCAGAUCCAAAUUCAUUUAAAAUUAUCAACACAUAGUCUGAACUUCAUGGAACCUAGAGGGAGUCAUCAUCUGCUCAGUUUUAUCUUCUUGUAGCCUGAGAGACAAAAACAACCAAAAAAAUCUUUAAGCACAUUUAAUUAAAAAAAACUCAACAAUGAACAGUCCCUAGAGUAGUUCUCAAUUUCACAAAUUGAAUGUCAAUUGUUCCCUUAAGCACAUGUUCUUUUAUGGAAUAGAAUCUUACUUUAAUGUGCUUAGUUCUUGAGUGUAAAACAUGAUUUUUUUUAAAAAGAUUUAUUGCACUCAAGUUGUCACAAAACAUAGGGAUACUAUUGACUUACAAUUUGUAAUGUGCAAGAUAUAUUUUAAACCAAGUCAAUUGAGAACAAGAGGAAGUUGAGAUAUAUAUUUAGCCUCAGCCGUUGACAGAGCAACAGUAGCUUGCUUCUUUCUUGUCCACAUAUGGAUUUUCCAAGACAACAAAAAAUUUCUGAAUUGCUGCUCCUGUUCACACGAUCUCAGCAAGAUCUUAAAUUGGACCAGUUCUUCCUCAUUUGCUUUUAUUCAAGAGGGAUCUUCAAUUAUUUUCUUUAUUUUGGGAGUUCCAUUUGUGAUGCAAGAGCGAAGUUAUUGAGUUUGCCUCUUUUUCUUCUUGAGAAUCUUGUGGUAACUCCAUGAGAGGGAUCUCCAAUGAUAAAUUCAUGUGGAUAGUUCUUCAAGAACUUCUAUUCUCUUGGCUUUUAUGAGGUGAUCUCAAGUUGAGUAUGAACAUGAUCAGUUCCAUUGAGAUUUUCAGAAAUCUCUAUGUCAGGAGGAGACAAAACAGAAUCGUCUCCUAGAUUCUGGUUUGCAGAAUUGUGAACAGCAUCUUCCAUUGAAGGUUCAGAUUUGUCUUUUCCUUGAAUUCUUCUAAAUUUUGUGCAAUCUUAGUUCCUGCAUCAAUUUUCUCAACAACACUUGAAAUAGAGUUAGAAUAAUAAGAAAAUGAUAUGUAUGAACUCCCCAAUUAUUCCAUGUUUAUUGAUGUAAACUCUAUAAGCUUUACUAGUAGUUGAAUAUCCAACAAAGAUACCUUCAUAAGAUUUUUGGAUUAAAUUUUUUAAAAAUAUCUUUAGUGUUUAACACAAAGUAUUUGCAUCCAAAAGUAUGAAAGUACUUAAGAUUGGAUGGUACUCCUUUUCAAAGCUCAUAUGGGUUUUCUUUAAAACUUUUCUAAUGAUGAUUUGGUUCAAAAUAUAGCUUCAAUCCAAAAGAAUUUUAGUAUUUCAUUUUCACCAAAACAUAGCCCUAGUCAUUUCUUGAAGGCCUCUAUUUCUCCUUUCAACAACUCUAUUUUAUUGAGGUAUGCUAGGACAUGAAAAAUUAUAUGAAAUACCAAAUUCAUCAAAGUGUUGUUUUCCAAACUCAUUUUCAUGAUCACUUCUUAAGAAAAUAGUUUUCAUUUUGAAUCUUUUUGCAUAGAGUUAAGACAGCAAGAAAAACAUCAUUCUUAUGAGCUAAGAAAAAGAAUUCAUCCAAACUUAGUAUAGUCAUCAAACACCACUAAGCUAUAGUGCUUACCAGCAAGACUUUGAAUCCUUGUAGGACCAAAAAGAUCAAUGUGUAGCAUUUUUAAAGUUCUUUUGGUUGAGAUGUCAUCCUUGGGUUUGAAAAAUUUUUUUUUGUUUAUUUACCCAAUUAACAAGCAUCACAAGUGGUGUCAUUGUCAAAUUUUAUUUUUAGGAAGAUAUCUAACCAAAUUCUUUUUCCCAAGCUUAGAAACUAGAAACAUGCUUGUAUGUUCUAUUUUCUUAUGCCAUAACUAUUUCUUAGAUUCUGUGGAAAUAAAACAAGCUACAUUUUAUUCUAUUAGUUCCUCUAAGGUUAGUCCAUACACAUUAUCGCAUCUUAUAACUUCAAACAAAAUUUCACCAAAUUUUUCACACACAACUAAGCAUUUCAAUUUCUUGAAAAUAGUCAAACAACAUAAAUCACACAAUUUUCUCAUGCCUAGAAGAUUGUGUUUCAACCAAUCAACUCAAAAUACAACAUCAAUGAAAGUUGAGAAAUUCUUACUAACCUUACCUACGGCCAAAUUUUUUCAUUUACCAUUGUCACCGAAAGUCACAAAGCUUCCAUCAAAUUCAUCAAAGAAAGUGGAUUUUUCGGUCAUGUGCCUAGAGCAUCUCCUAUUCAUGUAUCACAUGUCUUUCUUUUUCUUGGAUGCUAAGCAAAACUGCACAAAUCUUUUAAGUGACCUUAGGUAUCCAAACUAAUUUGGAUCCUUUGAAGUUAACCCUUCUUGGUUGUCCAAGAGCAUUAAAAUCACAGACAACCUUGUAUAUUUUGUUUCCUACUCUUCUUUUGUCAAUAAAGCAUUAAUAAGAAGAGUGACCAGAUUUAUUGCAAUUAAAACAGUGAUUUGUGUGAGCAUGUUGCUGAAAACACUUUAAGAUAUGAUGCUGAUGGUGAUCAAAAGAUUUGAAUUUUUUGGUAUUUGAAAGGGUGCAUUUCUUUUGAAAGAUCCAUCUCUAACAUUAGUACCUCCUUUUGCCAGAAAUCUUAAACCAGAAUUUCUUGACACAGACGGGUAUCUAGAACGUGAGACUCUUUUGUGAAAGAAAAAUUUUCUAAAAACGUCCUCAUUGUUAGAGAUGUAACCCAGACUAGAGUUUAUUUGAAGCAGGUUCAGGUUUUGAAUAAGAUGCAUUUUUAUAAAAAUAUGGCUUUUCAAAAUCAGCAUUAAUGUUAGAUGAAUAUCCAAGACCAGAUUUAUCAAAAGAUGAUUUUAUUUUUGAAGAUGAUGCUGUGAAUUUGCAAGUGAUUUUUUUUAAAUGCAUCUUUUUUUAUUACAUACCCUAAACCUGAUUUUUCAAACAAAGUUCUUUGAUUAGCAAGUAAUUUGUCUAAGUUGCUUGAGUUAUGUGCAAAUUUUGCUAAAUCAUGAUUCAAUCAUUUGAUCAUUUAAUCUUUUAUUUUCAGCAACAGAUUUUUGAGAGAGAUCAAUAAUGCGCUUUCCAUUGAAAAUUUUCAUAUUUAAAAAAAUCUAUUUUCUUUAAUAAAAUCAAAAGCACAUUUGAUCUCCUUCACCCUUUUCUUUUAAAAACUCAUUUUCAGCAUUCAAAACUUCAUUUUCAGAUUUACAUUUGUUGUAUCUAUUUAUCAAUAUUUCAGAAAGGUGAGAGAGAUCAUCAAUAGUCACAUGCAAAUCAUCAAGAGAUAAGUCAUAGAAAUUUACCUCUUCUUGUUGAUCUUCAUCAAUCAUGAAACAGAUUUGUGCUCUAUCUUCGGAGUCCUCUUCCUUAUCUGAGUCAAUCUUGAGAUCCUCCCAAGAAGCCAUAAGUCCUUUCCUUUUUGGUUCCUUUGAGUUGCCACCUCUGCUUCUUCCUUUGAGUUUCAUCAUCCUUCUAAGUUUUCUAGCAAAACAUGCAAACUCGUAAUCUUAUAAACAGUCACUGGAUUCAUCAUCUAAUGAUUUAGUGCAAGAUUUAAGAGCCACUCUCCCUUUUAUUUAUUUUUUUUGUAUCAUCAUUUUUUUUAUUUCAUAUGCUAAUAAAUUUUUCUCUCAACUCAUUACAGGUUAUUUCACUAUCCACUCUCUUGUCAAGCUUCUCAAGAUUUUCCUCACUAGCAUCUGUUCGGAAUGAGUAAUCCCCAUAGCUUUCAAGCUAUUAUUGAUGAUAAAGAAUGUUAUCAAUUGAUUCUUCUUUCUUCAUAGAGAACAUCUCAUACUCUUUGCUCAGCAUGUCAAUGUUGGUUUCUUCCACUUGUGUGGUGCCCUCAUUUGUGACUUGAAACUUUAUCCCAGAUUUUCUUUGCUGUUUUGCAUCUUGAAUCCUUUCGGUAUUCCUUGAAGCUGAUUACACAGUUCAGCAUGUUGACAGUAUUGCUAUUUAGUUUUUCUUUCCUUUUGUAAUCUUCAUUCCAUUCUGCUUCGACUUUGGGAGAGACAACACCACCAGUGCCAUCUUUUGUAGGGACUUGAGGAUCAUUUAUGAUGAUCUUCCACAUGUUGUAAUCCACUGACUGAGAAAAAAAUCUUCAUUCUUCCUCCUUUUUUUGAAGAAUGGAGAUCUAUUGUUAGACUGUCCUUCAGUCAGGAUAUAAGCCACUGUGUUUGAACCCAUGUAGUUCGCCAUCAGGAUCUUUUCCUCCAAGCUGUGAAGCUUGAUCUCUUUGAGACCAAGCUCCGAUACUAAUUAAUGAUAAUCAGUGGCUAAGAGAAGGGUGGUUGAAUCUUAGCCUUCUUUUUCUGAAUGUUACUUUCUACUUUUUAGGAUAGCUCCAAGAGAUAUUUCUGCUUUUUGUCUCAUAACUGGUUAAGAGAUAUUUUCUUUUUGUCUCGUAACUAGUUAGAAGAUUUUUCAAUUUUAUCUCCCACAAACAGAAACAGUAAAGGAGUAGAAGAGAAAGAGAGAAUCACACCCAAAAGUAUCCUGGUUCAGCUGCUAAGUGCAAUGCAGCCUACAUCUAGUCUCCAUCACAACAGUGACAGAAUUUUACUAUAAUCAACUUGAUUACAGACACCAAUUCUUCCAUAGGAACUACCCAUUUUUAUCCGGGACAAGUCCAGAAUCUAUCCCCAAAACUGAACUUGACUUGGUCACCUACCAAGCUUUCGACUGCAAAGUGCUAACCCAACAUGCAAGGGAACAAGUCCAAAUUUUAUCCCAACUCGAACUUGACUAGACCUCAAUCUAGCUUUCAACCGCAAAGUGCUAACCCAACUUGCAAGAAAAUCUCCUCAGGAUCAUGACAACAAAACAAAAAUACAUACAAAGAAUUUCUGAGAUAAUAAUGGCUUUUUCUUUAACUCUCUGCCUUUUUUCUACUCAUUGGCUUUUUCUUACAAAACUUCACAUUUUGUCUUUUACAAAUGAAACACAGAUAGACUCACUGAGAAAAAGAAAUAUUUAAUGAAAGCCAUGAAGGAGAAGAAUAAACAGCUCAAAGAGUUAUGGGAACCCGAACGUGUGCUCUCACUCCUUGUCUCAAACCUUGGCUGUUCACCCUUAUUAUAGAAGGGGAAGCCUCCAAGGUUGAAACGGUUCAACCGAGCCAACUUCUUCUUCUUCAACACCAAAACCGGUUCGGACAGAGAGAAGAGAGAGGGAGCCGAAAGCUAAAAUCAACAUGCAAUUAUCUCUCUCUCAUCCCUUUUCUUCAAGCUUCAUCAAUCUGAGCCUUCCAUCUUGACUUGAUCCCCAAGAAGGAUUUCUGACCCUUGAUGAACCCUUAAUCUUUGACAGCUCUAUCUGCUCCACUUUUGCUUCCUCCUCCACGUAGCUAUAGUAGCUACCUUCUGUGAUAGAUGAACAAAAAGUAGAAACGAGCCAUACCACAGGGAUCUUCUUCUCUGACCGAAAUGGAUUGCUACCACUUUUGGCAUGGAGAUCUUGAAGCUUUUUCACCACAUCUUGCCAUUAGUAGAAAAGAUCUCAGCUACGCCAUGCUUUGGAUCUUCCUUUUUUGCAAAGGCCAUUACCCUAGCCUUUUGCUUCUUCCUAACUUCUCUAUAAUUUCUCUGAUAACUUCUUCUUCUUCUUUCUUCCAUCUUCUUUUCUGAUGGAUGUGACAAACAAAACAAGAGAGAGAGGAGAGAGUAGAAACAAAGCAUUGAUUGUUAGAUUAAAUAAAAUUGAAAUCCCACUAACAACUCCCAAUGCAUAAAGUAACGUGUGGAGCAAUUAAUGCCAUCAAAUCAAUUUUAAUUUUCUCUCUCCUAUUACCAAUGCAUGCAAUAAAAUUAAGUUAAUUAAUUUUCAAUUCCAUAAGCCAUGGAGGAAUGUAAUCGUGAAAAGCAUGCACUCAAUUUGAAUUUGGAUCCCACCAAAGUAAAUGGGUAAUAGAAACCUCAUGCUCCAUUCCCUUUUUCUUUUGAUUUCGGACCAAGUCUUGUUGGUCACCCAACAAAAAUUAAUUUGGGCUACUCACAUGAUACAUGGCCCAAAUUAUCUUUGCAAAAUAAUUCAUCCACACUCUUAGAAAUCUUUUUUCACAUUGGCUGAAUAUUUUUUUUCAUUAUUUUGGACUAUGUUGUUUUAGCCCAAAUAAACAAAUCAAGGCAUGUGAGAGAGUGAACAUUUUUGUGAUCACCGUAUGGAGUCUUUGGUCACUUGAAGAGAUUGCAUUGGGAUCAUUGAAAGGCUUCUUCCAAGGCUUUAGGCCACUUGUUUCUUUCUUUAAUUUAUGAUGGGCUUUGAUGGAUUUGGGCCUCCUUGGAUUUCUUUCUUUCUUUAAACAAUCAGCCACUAACAUUUGAAUUAUUUUUGCUCAAAGCUGAAUUUGUUCAAAGAUCAAUUUGGGCUUGUGUAACUUUGACCCAAUAGGAAUUAAAUUGCUUGCCUGCAAACUUGAACACAAAUCAUCAAAUAACUUAUUGGAAAUUAUUAAAUAGAACACUUAAUAAUAAUUUUAAUAAUUUUCUAAUUUACAUUUUAAUAAUGUUUGAUCAUCAUUUCAGUUUUCCAAACUCAACACUUGUAACUCUUAAAAUUGAAUAGCAAUUGGGUUGCAACCAAGACACUCUUGUUGCUAGAUAAGUUAUGAGUUUUCAAACCAAACUUUAGCCUAAUUGAAGUUUUGUAGUAAAAGUUAUGCAAGUUGAAAGAUACUAAGCUGCUUGAUUUCUAAAAACAGAUUUUGAAUUAUUUCUAUCUAACUUUCAAAUUAUGAAACUUCUUCAUUAAAAAUGAUAUUAACCUGGAACUAGUUGAAAAAAAAACUUGGAUAAGUUAAGUUUAACCAUAUUAAUUUUGAAGGUGGUUGGAAUUAAUUUGAAUUUUAUAUGGAAUAUUGAAUAUUAAACACUGCUGUUGUUUUUUUGGUUUUUAAGCACUGCAGAACAAGCACGGUUUUCCUUUUAUUUUCAAGGCUAGAUUGAUCAGAAAUUUAUGAUUUUUAGUUUAUUAGAAAGCUUAAUCCGAGAUGGAUGCCUGAACAUAAAGUUUUUGCAAUUCCGAAUUCAUUUGGUAUUUUAAAAACAUAAUUAAAAUUAGGCUGCCGGUGUUAUUUUGGUAACUACCUUGGGUAUGGAUCUUAAGAAAAGAUUCCUAUAUUAUUAUCAAAUAUUUUUUAGAAUGUACUGUUGUAGUACUUGAUGAUAAAAGGUUGGUGAAAUAUUGAGAAAGAGGGAAACCCGUAAGGGUGGUUAAGUCCUAUUUUUAGAGGAGAUCAUGUCCAAACUUUUAUAAAAAUAUAAGGACUUAAUCAAAAUGAAUAUUUAAGACUUGUUUAAUGAUGAUAACUUCAACAAUUCUUUUGAGAAAAGAUAAUCCGUUUAUGAAAUUAUUGGCAAAGACGUGGGUUUUGUCCCGCUUGCAUAUUUAUGAUUAUAAAAGAGAAUAAAAACCAGAGGAUCUGUUGAAAGGUCAUUUGUUGCUUGAGGCAACCCAAGAUAUGUUGUUUAUUCAUUUGUUGCACUAAGGCAACUUCAGAGAUAUUUAUAUGUUCAUCUGCUGCAUUGAGGCAGUCAGAUAGAUGGUGGUUCGACCACUGAGAACGCUUUCCUGUGGUACAGAUCCAUAUUUCAUUUCUGUAAGGCAGAGGGGUUAUUUCCUGCUACAGAAGUACCGUGACCACCUGUUUCAUUUCUGUAGUGGCAGAGGGAUUAUUUCCUGUAUACAGAAGGUGUGUCGGCAUACAUCCCUGCAGUGGCAGAUGUGUUAUUUCCUGCAUGCAGUGGACCCUGUGGUGGCAGAGGGGUUAUUUCCUGUACACAGGGGUAUAGCCAACAGGAAAUCCAUAUCCGGGUAGUAAUGCUGGGUUAAGCCAGGAGCGGGUAGAAACCGACAGAUGAGCUCAUUACCUACACUAUGGCUAGACAUGCAUCAUCUUGUUUUUGCAUUAUUCUUUGUGAUAUUUCCUAUGCUUUUAUUGUGUUCUUUAUUUUGUUUGCUUGUGUUCUAUUUGUAUAGUUCUACUUGCCUAUUUUUGAAUUGCGCUUAGAGUUAGGUAUUAUAUGAAAAGUCAUACUAGUUCAGCAUAGACUUAAUGAACCUAUGUUUAGGACAUGCUGACUAUUCAUACCGAGAUUGACAUAAGCUAAUAUCCAAUUCUCUUUCAACAUAAUUUUCAAAGAGUCUUAUGUAAUUAAUGAAAAUGAAUAUUAUUGAAUUAAAUUAUCUAUUUGCAUUUUUAUUCUUUAUUUUUACGACAUUCUCGAUCUCUACUGAGAACUUGUGGUUUGGUUCUCACCCCCAAAUUUUUCACCCUUUCAGUGACACAGGUUUGAAGACGCAAUAUGAAGCUGCAAGCGAUUAGUCGAUUUUUUCAUUAUUUUAAUUGCUUUCAUAGAGUCCCUCCCUAUUGUCCUUUGAGAUUUUAUCUUACAUAGAGGGGUAGGUAUGGUACACUGUAUUUGAGUUUUAUUUGGUUUCUUUUGUAUAAAAAUUAUUGCUAAUAGUAUUUAUGUGAUUAUUAUUACUUGUAGAAUCUUUGAUAUAUGUCUUUAAUAAAUAAAAACAAAAUUUUUCGGUAUUUUCUUAAAUUAGAAACGCGAAAUCAAAAUAAAGGCUCAGUAAUUAAGUAGUUAAUACUAGAAAAGGUUACGUAAUGUUCUUUCUAGUAGAAAUACCCUGACUUAAGCAAGGUAUUUUGCUGGAAGGGAUGUUACAGUAAAGGUGUCAUGCACAUAAAUUAAUCCCUCACUUUGCAUUAAGUGACUCAUAUUAGUCCCUAAAAUUAAAUAUCGUCGUGCACCAAACUAAUCGAUUCACCAGUUUUUUUUCAUUUUUUUAAAAAAUUUAAAAUUUUCAAUAUCUUGGAUGCACUAAUUUUAAUUUUGUUUUUUCAUAUAUCAUUUAAAUACAAGUACUUUCAUAAAAAUUCUCAUUGUCAUUAUUACAUCAUACUUCUAUUUAUAGUAUAAUUCUCAUUCUCUAAUUGGGCUAACCCAAUACUAAUCUUAUCAUUAUCCUAUCCUUCAAAACAACCUUGUCCUUAAGAUUGGAGAAAAAAUAUAAAACCUAAGUAAAAUCGUAAAUAUGAAUUACAAGUACUAAACAAAAUUAAUUUAAAAAAUAAUAUUUUCUAUACUACUACUUAAAAUAAAAAUUCGCCACCAGAAUCACAUUAUUUAAAAUAGAGUAAAGGACAAAUAGGUCCCUGACCUUUUUUUUGUGGACAUUUUUGUCCUCAAGGAAGAAAAAAUACAUUCAAGUCCCUCACUUCCAAAAAACGUGGACAUUUCAACCCUUCCGUUGAAUUCAGGCGUUUGGACUGGACGGAAAAGUCUGACCUGGCAGAGGUGGCACUGACCUGGCCGUUACGGAGCCCACGUGGCAGGAAGCUUUUCGAAACAGGACAUAUAAGUCCCCGGAGAUGAAAACAACGCCAUUUCGUUACCUCCCCUCCAAACACAGUUGAAUCCCCGUAUACAAUACCCAGAAGACCCAUACUUGAGUGAGAGAAUUACUGAAAAUCCUAUGCCAAAGACGAUCAAACUCUUUCGUCUCUAUUUUUCCCUCCAAAAAAUACAACACGUACAAGAGCAAUAGGUGCCGGUUGAAGUUGGUGCCAGAAGCUGAGAAGAAGCUUGCUCUGAGGUCAUGGUUGCUAUCUUCGUCAGAAGGUAAAAUUGUGAUGCUUAGCUAGGAAGGCAAUGUGUGUGCAUGUUUAUAGUGUAAGAUAGAAUAUGAAAAAAGGGGUUUAAAGCGUCCUUUGUAGGAUUAGGGGAAAGGAUUGUGUUAGGGCAAUGUGGUUUCGUUCAUAUCUUGUGUUUAUGUGUUUUUUAUUUUAAUCCUAGUUCUGCACGGGUUAAUUUCAGAUGGUUGAUGUGUUUGUGGUGCCGGUCUUUCAUCAUGGAGGGAACUUUGUAAGGGAAAUUGAUGAAAAAAUGGUUUAUCAAAAUGGAAAGGAAGAGAGGUUUCCUCAGAUGGACCUAGACUUUGUUAAUUUUGGAGACCUGGUGACACUAUUUAAGGGCUUGGACUACCAGUCAUACAAGGCAGUAUACUGGUAUGAUCCAACAAGCACUGACAUUGAAUCCGCAAUGAACAUAUUGACUAGGGAUGCAGGGAUCAACGCAAUGCGAGAGAACUUAAUGAAGAACCCAGGGCUAGGUGAGUUCCAUAUAUACUUUGACCACCCUGUUAAUGAUCCGGAGGUUGUUGAGGAUGCUGCCCAGGACAGAGAUACUGCAGGGGAGGUGGAUGAAACUGCAGAGGAACUGAAUGCAUCCUCUUCAUCUGAUGACGGGUACAAGAGCACGGAGGACGUGUUGUACAAACCUCCACCGGCUGGAAUUGAGAGUGAUAGUACUGAAAGUGACAGCAAUGGUGGGGUUACUGCUGGGAAGAGGAAAAGAUGUGUCAAGGGUAAAAAGAAGGUAGUCACUCCGAAGAAAAAGGUAGUUACUCCAAGGAAAAAGGUAGUUAUUCUGAAGAAGCAAGGGAAGAGGAAGAGACAAUUUGGCACAAGGGUUAAGGAAAGAGGGGAAGGCAGUGGGAAUAGGAAUGAUGUACGUGGUGAAGCUGGGGAUCAGUUGCCUGAUGUCCAACCCGAUUAUGCAGUACGGGUGGGUUUUAUGUUAGUGAGCUCCCAACAGAGGUGGAGAAAAUCAUGUUUGAGUAUGAGUCUGAAGACUUGCAUACUCUCAUAUCAUCCGAUGAUGAAGGCAGAGGUAAUAAAUUUCCAGAUUUUGAUGAUGAUUAUGCUAAUGGUGAGGGCAGGUUUGAGUUAGGAACUAGGUUUACCACUGUGGACAGGUUCAAGGAGGUAGUUAAAGAUUCGUUCAUUGUUGAGGGGCGGGAAUUGAGGUGGAUAAAAAAUGACAAAGAGAGAGUGAGAGUGGGGUGUGGGGAUCAGGAGUGUCCUUACUUGGUUCACUUGUCAUAUAACAAAAGUUUGCAGUGUUAUCAAGUGAAGACCUACCAUCCAAAACACACUUGUGCAAGGGAUUUGGGCAGUAACGCUGUUGAUCAGCACUGGCUAAGUAAGAAAAUUGAGAAACGAAUGUCAACCCAACCACACAUGAAUACGAAGAAGACAACUGAUUUCCUUAAAGAGGAAUUUUCGCUCUGUCCCCAUCCUAAGAUGGUUUAUAGAGCAGUGAAGGAAGCUAGGGACAAGAUCAUGGGAAAUGAAAGGGAACAAUACAAGAGAACGAGGGAUUAUUGUGAGGAAGUACUUAGGAGAAAUCCAGGCUCAUCAGUUAGGCUUGAGCUCAUGCCAAUUCUAGAGGCUCCCCCUGUUUUUGAUAAACUGUACAUUUGCCUAGAUGCCUGCAAACAAGGUUUCAAAGAUGGAUGUCGUCCUUUGUUGCAUUUGGAUGGUUGCUUACUGAAAACAUAUUAUGUUGGUUGGCUUCUAGAAGCAGUUGCUCAGGACGCAAACAAUCAGUUUUAUGUGGUUGCAUAUGGGGUUGUCAGGACUGAGACCAAGGAUUCCUGAAAGUGGUUCCUGACUAAUCUGCAAGGGGACAUAUGAGACGAUGCAAACCAUGGCUGAAACUUCAUAUCAGACCAGCAGAAAGUGAAAGUAGUUUAUGGUUAUUUUCAUUGCUUUGUAUUUAGUUAAGAUGAUUGCUAACUAUUUGGUGAUCUUCAUUGCUAUCUAUUUGGUUAAUUUCAUUGCUGUCUGUUUGAUUAAUUUCAAUGCAGGGUUUGCUGCCUGUGCUGAAGGAGGUCAUGCCACAUGCUAAGCUCCGCAAUUGCGUCAUGCAUAUGUGGAAAAACUUCAUAAACCGCUACAAGGUCUUGUACAUUAGACAUGUUAUGUGGGAGUGUGCUAGAUGCAUGACUGUUGCUGAAUUCAAGGAAUGCAUGGAGAAGUUGAAGACAGUUAACCAGGGUGCUUGGGAGUACCUCAGUAAAUUUGAACCAGAAACAUAGGUUAAGGCUUACUUCUCCCAUGGACCAAAAGUGGAUAACCUCACAAACAUGUGCGAGGUUUUUAAUGCUAAAAUAGUAAACUACCGUUGCAAGCCUAUCCUAACUAUGUGUGAAGAGAUCAGGUGUUACCUGAUGAGGACUUGAGGAGGAUGGUGAAUCAUAAACGGGUAUUGGACAAUCACUCAGAGAAGCUAGCACCAGUUCAGGAAAAGAGGCUGGAGAAGUUAUUAAAUCUUAGCACCAAGUGGACGGCUGAAUGGAUUGGUGACAAUGAACGAAAGAGGUUUGAGGUUUCUCGCAAAGCAACGAAGGUGGAUGUGGACCUCAUUAGGUACAGUUGCUCAUGCAACAGAUGGCAAUUCACUGGUAACUACUGUUCUCACUUGAGUCAGUUUUUUGGUUAUUUUGAAAUGAAUUUCCUUUACUGUUUUUUUGGUUCCAUUACUCACCUUCACUGCAUUAUCUCAGGCAUGCCCUGUUUACAUGCACUAGCUGCCAUUUGGAAGAGACAUGACAUACCUCAUGACUAUGUUCACCCUUGGCUGUGCAUGGAGUCCAUCAGGAUGACAUAUGCACACUGCAUUAAGCCUGUUCCAAGUCCAGAAUUUUGGGCAAGAACUAAGUUCUCGAAGUUAGACCCACCCAUUAUCAAAAGGCUAAUUAGACAGCUAAAGGUUCAUAAUAGGCAAAAAGAUCCUGCUGAGCCCAUCAUGCAAGGGGGAAAACUGAAGAGAUCAUUCAUUGUAUUCUGCAGCAAGUGUGGUGAGAAGGGCCACAACUACAAAACAUGUAAGAGAGCUCCUUCCAACCCAAACUGGAAGCUGAAGACAAGGCGCCCUAGGAAGAAAGCAGCUAGCUCCUCCCAGUCACUGAUUGUGCUUCCUCUAUCACAAUCUGCUCCCCCACCAGAGGUAAGAUCCCUACUGUUAUCAUUGUCUUUUAGGGACUAUUCUGUCUUAGUACUAUUAUGGUUAGGGACUAAUCUGUCUUAGUAUACAAAACAUUAGGGUUAAAUAUGUCUUAGUUUACUAUUCAUGAGGUGCUGUUAUGUCCCAUCAUCAAACUGUUUACAUAUUACAUGCAUAUUUUCAGGAUACAUCCAGCAGCCAACCAGGCAGCUCCACAUGCCUGACCCCAAACUCCACUGUUGUGGAAUCACCUGCCCCAGAAAUCCACCUAUGCCACCAGCUCCAACAAGGGUGACAAGAUCCACAGUUGUCAUUUCACUUGCAGGGCCAACAGCUACUCAAGCCAGGCCACUAGCCCCAACUACAGGCCAUCCAUUUAAACCUCCAGGGAAAGCCAAUGACACAGCUCGCCCACAACAGUCCAGGUUCAGACCAAAAUAGAAGAUCUUCAGGCUGCCAGCUCUAAUUGCUGCCUGCACAAUCCCACCUAAAACACAAUAGCCAACUCUAUCUACCAUCCCAUCUGCAGCACGAAUCAGGAUGCUCCACCCCCAAAUUUUCCAACUUCAUCAACAACGAAGGACUCGAAGGAGUGAAGACUUCUGUCAUUAUGUGCUUUUGUGAAAACUUUUUGGAUAUGUAAUGGUUCAUAACAAGUAGUAGAUACAAUUUGCCUUUUUGUUACAUGCUUUUUGAACACUGGUGCGUAGAAAUCGUGACGGUUCCAUUCCUUGGUAACGGCACUAAAAACUCAAUACGCACGUUCAUAAUCUUAGUUCUUUGUCACAACUUCGCACAACUAACCAGCAAGUGCACUGGGUCAUCCAAGUAAUAAACCUUACGUGAGUAAGGGUCGAUCCCACAGAGAUUGUCGGCUUGAAGCAAGCUAUGGUCACCUUGUAAAUCUCAGUCAGGCGGAUUCAAUUGAUUAUGGAGAUUUAGUAAUUAAAAGAUAAAUAAAAUAUAAAAUAAAAAUAAUGAUACUUAUGUAAUUCAUUGGUGAGAAUUUCAGAUAAGCGUAUAGAGAUGCGUUCAUUCCUCCUGAACCUCUGCUUUCCUAUUGUCUUCAUCUAAUCAUUCAUACUCCUUUCUAUGGCAAGCUGUAUGUUAGGCAUCAUCGUUGUCAAUGGCUACAUCCUGUCUUCUUAGUGAAAAUGGUCCAAUGCGCUGUCACUGCAUGGCUAAUCAUCUGUCGGUUCUCGAUCAUACUGGAAUAGGAUCCAUUGAUCCUUUUGCGUCUGUCACUACCCCAGCACUCGCGAGUUUGAAGCUCGUCGCAGCCAUCCCUUCCCAGAUCCUACUUGAAAUACCACAGACAAGGUUUAGACUUUCCGGAUCUCAAGAAUGGCCGUCCAUGGAUUCUAACUUAUACCACGAAGAUUCUGAUUAAGGAAUCCCAGAGAUACUCAUUCAAUCUAAGGUAGAACGGAAGUAGUUGUCAGGCAUGCGUUCAUAGGUUGGGAAUGAUGAUGACUGUCACGAUCAUCACAUUCAUAUUGAAGUGCGAAUGAAUAUCUUAGAAUCAGAAUAAGCUUGAAUUGAAUAGAAAAACGAUAGUACUUUGUAUUAAUUCAUGAGGAACAGCAGAGCUCCACACCUUAAUCUAUGGUGUGUAGAAACUCUACCGUUGAAAAUACAUAAGUGAUGAAGGUUCAGGCAUGGCCGAAUAGCCAGCCUCCAAACGUGAUCUAAAGAUGAAACUAAAGAUGUAAAUGCAAUAGUAAAAAGUCCUAUUUAUGCUAAACUAGUUACUAGGGUUUAUAGAAAUGAGUAAAUGAUGCAGAAAUCCACUUCCGGGGCCCACUUGGUGUGUGCUUGGGCUGAGCAUUGAGCUUUACAUGUGUAGAGGCUUCUCUUGGAGUUGAACGCCAGUUUGUAACCUAUUUCUGGCGUUUAACUCCACUUUGCAACCUGUUUCUGGCGUUUAACUCCAUAAUGCAGCAUGGAACUGGCAUUGAACGCCAGUUUGCGUCAUCUAAACUCGGAGGAAUAGCGAUGGAUUCCUAUGAAGCAUUCAGGAACAAGAAGAUUCAAUCGGACGACGAAUUCUUACGUGGUCCAAGGAAAUCAAAGGUCCGCUUCCACGAUUUCAUCUAUAUCGAAUCUGAAUAUCAGAAUAGCUUAUAUAGUCAUGAUUCAAUUCAGGUCCACUGACUUUUGAUUGAUUUCUCUUCGGAUCUGAUUGGAACAUUGGAGAAGUAGGAAGAAGAGAAAGUAGCUGCGAUUGCUUGGAGACCUCUUGAAUCGAUUCUUACUUAGACUACAAUAAUUAUUAUAACCACAACUUGUCUUGUCGUACUAGAAGUUCGAACUAGAGGCAGGAAGUAAGUACUGGCGCAGGGAAUGGAGUUUUAAGAACAGGAACAUCGUUAUGCCUUCCUUUCAGUCCUCUGAUCUUACCUUAGACCCUCCAUGCUAUGCGGGGAAGCGAGGUAAGGGCUAGCUUCUAAUCUCCGAUGAUGCCAAGCGAGUCUUCUCGUACUUCAGGCACUCCAGAGGUUAGUUUGUAAAAGAGUGAGAACAUGUGAAACAACAAAGAGAAUUAGGAAUGGAAGGUGGGUGCCCUCUAUAUUGGGGGUUGAUUCUAGCUUUCCGUCAUCUCAACCUAAGCAUCACGUUCCUAGGGACAGAGACAUCUGCGCUCUAAGGCUAUCAUAGCCAGCAUGGUUACAUCUAACUGCCUACUGGGCAAGCUUCAACUUCAAAGUCACCUGAUUUGGAUAUGGACUAUUAUAUAUUGCUGGAAAGCCCUGAAUGUCUACUUUCCAAAGCAAUUGGGAGCGCGCCAUUUGGAGUUCUGUAGCUCCAGAAAAUGCACUUUGAGUGCAGGGAGGUCAGAAUCCAACAGCAUCUGCAGUCCUUCUUCAACCUCUGAAUCUGAUUUUUGCUUAAGUCCCUCAAUUUCAGCCAGAAAAUACCUGAAAUCACAGAAAAACACACAAACUCAUAGUAAAGUCCAGAAAUGUGAUUUUUAUUUUAAAACUAAUAAAAAUAUACUAAAAACUAACUAAAUUAUACUGAAAAUUAUGUAAAAAUAAUGCCAAAAAGCGUAUAAAUUAUCCGCUCAUCACAACACCAAACUUAAAUUGUUGCUUGUCCCCAAGCAACUGAAAAUUAAAUAGGAUAAAAAGAAGAAAAUAUACUAUAAAUUCCAAAAUAUCAAUGAAACUUAGUUCCAAUCAGAUGAGCGAGACUUGUAGCUUUUUGCCUCUUGAAUAGUUUUGGCAUCUCACUUUAUCCGUUGAAGUUCAGAAUGAUUGGCGUCUAUAGGAACUUAGAAUUCAGAUAGUGUUAUUGAUUCUCCUAGUUCAGUAUGUUGAUUCUUGAACACAGCUACUUUAUGAGUUUUGGCUGUGGCCCUAAGCACUUUGUUUUUCAGUAUUACCACCGGAUACAUAAAUGCCACAGACACAUAACUGGGUGAACCUUUUCAGAUUGUGACUCAGCUUUGCUAAAGUCCCCAAUUAGAGGUGUCCAGGGUUCUUAAGCACACUCUUUUUUUUGCUUUGGACCUUGACUUUAACCGCUCAGUCUCAAGUUUUCACUUGACACCUUCACGCCACAAGCACAUGGUUAGGGACAGCUUGGUUAGCCGCUUAGGCCAUGAUUUUAUUCCUUUAGGCCCUCCUAUCCACUGAUGCUCAAAGCCUUGGAUCAUUUUUAUUUACCCUUGCCUUUUGGUUUAAAGAGCUUUUGGCUUUUUCUGCUUGUUUUUUUUUUCUUUUUCUUUCUUUUUUUCCGCUAUUUUUUUUCUGCAAGCUUUUGUAUUCACUGCUUUUUCUUGCUUCAAGAAUUAUUUUUAUGAUUUUUCAGAUUAUCAAAUAACAUUUCUCCUUUUUCAUCAUUCUUCAAGAGCCAACAUAUUUAACAUUCAUAAACAUCAACUUCAAAAGACAUAUGCACUGUUCAAGCAUUCAUUCAGAAAACAAAAAGUAUUGUCACCACAUCAAAAUAAUUAAACUAGUUUCACGGAUGAAUUCAAAACCAUGUACUUCUUGUUCUUUUGUUUUUAGAAUAUUUUUUUCAUUUAAGAGAGGUGAUGGAUUCAUAUUCAUAACUUUAAGGCAUAGACACUUAGACACUAGUGAUCAUAUAGUAAAGACACAAACAUAAAUAAAACAUAAAGCUCAAAAAUCUAAAAACAGUAAAAUAAAUAGACAAGGAGAUUAAGGAAUGAGUCCACCUUAGUGAGGGUGGCGUCUUCCUCUUCUUGAAGAACCAAUGGUGCUUUUGAGCUCCUUUAUGUCUCUUCCUUGCCUUUGUUGCUCCUCCCUCAUAGCUCUUUGAUCUUCUCUAAUCUCAUGGAGGAUGAUGGAGUGCUCUUGGUGCUCCACCCUUAGUUGUCCCAUGUUGGAACUUAAUUCUCCUAGGGAGGUGUUGAUUUACUCCCAAUAGUUUUGUGGAGGAAGGUGCAUCCCUCGAGGCAUCUCAGGGAUUUCAUGGUGGGGAAUUUUCUCAUGCUCUUGUUGAGGUCCAUGAUCUCUUAUUUGCUCCAUCCUUUUCUUAGUGAUGGGCUUGUCCUCUUCAAUGAGGAUGUCUCCCUCUAUGUCAAUUCCAGCCGAAUUGCAGAGGUGGCAUAUGAGGUGAGGAAAGGCUAACCUUGCCCAAGUGGAGGACUUGUCAGCCACCUUGUAAAGUUCUUGAGGUAUAAUCUCAUGAACUUCUACCUCCUCUCCAAUCAUGAUACUAUGGAUCAUGAUGGCUCGGUCUAUAGUAACUUCAGACCGGUUACUAGUAGGAAUGAUUGAGCGUUGAAUGAACUCUAACCAUCCCCUAGCCACUGGUUUGAGGUCAUGCCUUCUUAGUUGAACCGGCUUGCCUCUUGAGUCAAUUUUCCAUUGAGCUCCUUCUUCACAUAUGUCUCUGAGGACUUGGUCCAACCUUUGAUCAAAGUUGACCCUUCUUGUGUAGGGGCAUGCGUUCUCUUCCAUCAUUGGCAAGUUGAAUGCCAACCUUACAUUUUUCGGACAGAAAUCUAAGUAUUUCCCCCGAACCAUGGUAAGCCAAUGCUUUGGAUUCGAGUUCACACUUUGAUCAUGGUUCCUAGUGAUCCAUGCGUUUGCAUAGAACUCUUGAACCAUUAGGAUCCCGACUUGUUGAAUGGGGUUGGUGAGAACUUCCCAACCUCUUUUUCGGAUCUCAUGUCGGAUCUCCGGAUACUCAUUCUUUUUGAGCUUGAAAGGAACCUCAGGGAUUACUUUCUUCUUGACCACAACUUCAUAGAAGUGGUCUUGAUGGACCUUUGAGAUGAAUCUCUCCAUCUCCCAUGACUCAGAGGUGGAAGCAAUUGCCUUCCCUUUCCUCUUUCUAGAGGUUUCUCUGGCCUUAGGUGCCAUAUAUGGUUAUGGAAAAACAAAAAGCUAUGCUUUUACCACACCAAACUUAAAAUGUUUGCUCGUCCCCGAGAAAAAGAAGAAAGAAAGUAGUAGAAAAAGAAGAAAAUGGAGGAGAUGGGGGAAGAAUAUGUAUUCGGCCAAGGAGAAGAAGAGAGGGUUGUGUUGUGUGAAAAUGAAGAAGUAGUGAGGGGUUUAUAUAGGAGUGAGGGGGGAUGUAGGGUUCGGCCAUUAGGGUUGGGUUUGGGAGGAAAAUUAGUUUGAAUUUUGAAGGUAGGUGGGGUUUAUGGGGAAGAGAGGAUGGAUGUAAGUGGUGAAGAGGUGAUGGAAAAGAGUGAUUGAGGUGAUUGGUGAAGGGUAUUUGGGGAAGAGAGUUAUGAAAAGGUGUGAAGAGGAGAGAAGAAAAUGUGGGGAUCCUGUGGAGUCCACAGAUCCUGAGGGGAUCCUGUGGGAUCCACAGAUCAAGUGGGGUCAAGGACUUAACAUCCCUGCUCCAAUUAGGCGUGUAAAAUGCCCUUGCUGUGCAAUCCUGGCAUUUAACGCCAGACUGCUGCCUGUUUCUGGCGUUAAACGCCCAAAUGUAGCUUGUUUCUGGCGUUUAACGCCAGGUAGAUGCUUGUUUCUGGUGUUAAACGCUAGACAGAUGCUUGUUUCUGGCGUUUAAAUGCUAGAUUGUUCUCCUCCAGGGUGUGCUGUCUUCAAUGCUAUUUUUCAUUCUGUUUUUUAUUUUUCAGUAGUUUUUGUGACUUCACAUGAUCAUCAACCUAAUAAAACACGAAAUAACAAAAAGAAAAUAAAAUAGAUAUGCUUAAAUAACAUUGGGUUGCCUCCCAACAAGCGCUUCUUUAAUGUCAAUAACUUGACAGUGAGCUCUCAUGGAGCCUCACAGAUAAUCAGAGCAAGGUUGGAACCUCCCAACACCAAACUUAGAGUUUGACUGUGGGGGCUUUGGUUGACUCUGCAGUGAGAGAAGCUUUUCAUGCUUCCUCUCCAUGGUUACAGAAGGAGAUCCUUGAGUUUUAAACACAAGGUUGUCCUUAUUCAGUUGAAGGACCAACUCUCCUCUGUCCACAUCAAUCACAGCUCUUACUGUGGCUAGGAAGGGUCUUCCAAGGAUGAUGGAUUCAUCAUCUUCCUUCCCAGUGUCUAGGAUUAUGAAAUCAGCAGGGAUGUAAAGGCCUCCAACCUUUACUAACACGUUCUCUACUUGUCCAUAAGCCUAUUUUCUUAAGUUGUCUGCCAUCUCUAAUGAGAUUUGGUGCACGAAAUUGUGAUCUCCAGGCUCGAACAAAUCCUGGUAAUGGCUCCAAAGCUUGGUGCUCUGAUCUUAAUUCAUAAUUGUCACAACUUCGAUACAACUAACCAGCAAGUGCACUGGGUCGUCCAAGUAAUACCUUACGUGAGUAAGGGUCGAAUCCCACGGAGAUUGUUGGUAUGAAGCAAGCUAUGGUCACCUUGCAAAUCUCAGUUAGGCAGAUAUAAAUGGAUAAUGGUGUUUUCGAAUUUAAUAUAAUAAAAUAGGGAUAGAGGUACUUAUGUAAAUCAUUGGUAGGAAUUUCAGAUAAGCGAAUAGAGAUGCUUUUCGUUCCUCUGAACCUCUGCUUUCCUGCUAUCUUCAUCCAAUCAGUCUUACUCCUUUCCAUGGCUGGCUGUAUGCAAGGGCAUCACCGUUGUCAGUGGCUACACCCCCUCCUCUCAGUGAAUAAUAUGCUCACGCACCCUGUCACAGCACGGCUAUUCAUCUGUCGGUUCUCCAUCAUGCUGGAAUAGGAUUCACCCUCCUUUUGNNNNNNNNNNNNNNNNNNNNNNNNNNNNNNNNNNNNNNNNNNNNNNNNNNNNNNNNNNNNNNNNNNNNNNNUUUUGAAAAAGAUUUGAUUUUUAAAAUCACAAUUAAUGACUUGAUUCAUAAGAAAUCACAAGAUAUGAUUCUAGAACUCAAAGUUUGAAUCUUUCUUAACAAGCAAGUAACAAACUUGAAAUUUUUGAAUCAAAACAUUAAUUGUUUAUUGUUAUUUUCGAAAAUUUGGUAUAAAAAUAAGAAAAAGAUUUUUGAAAAAUAUUUUUUGGAAUUUUCGAAAAUAACUAAGAAUUUUGAAAAAGAUUUGAUUUUUGAAAAAGAUUUUGAAAAAGAUAAGAUUUUCAAAUUGAAAAUUUGAUUUGACUCAUGAGAAACAACUUGAUUUUAAAAAUUUUUGAAAAAGUCAAUUCAAAUUUUCGAAUUUGAUGAGAGAAAAAGGGAAAGAUAUUUUUUUGAUUUUUGAAUUUUUUUUUUUGAAUUUUUAUGAAAACAUGAAAAAUAUGCAAUGCAUGAAAAUUUUAGAUCAAAACAAUGAAUGCAUGCAAGAAUGCUAUGAAUGUCAAGAUGAACACCAAGAACACUAUGAAUGUCAAGAUGAACAUCAUAGACAAAAUUUUGAAAAAUUUUUAAUGCAAAUAAAACAUGCAAGACACCUAACUUAGAAUUCUUUAAUGCCUAGACAUUAAGAAUUCAAGAAUGCAUAUGAAAAACACUAUACAACACAAAACAAAAAAUCAUCAAGAUCAAACAAGAAGACUUACCAAGAACAACUUGAAGAUCAUGAAGAACACUAUGAAUGCAUGAAAUUUUCGAAAAAUGCAAGAUGCAUAUGCAAGUGACACCAAACUUAUGAUAUGACUCAAGACUCAAACAAGAAACAGAAAAAUAUUUUUGAUUUUUAUGAUUUUCUAAUUUUUUUUGGAUUUUUUUCGAAAAUUAUAUGAAAAAGAAAAAUAAGGAUUCCAAAAUUUUUAAUAUGAAUUCCAGGAAUCUUGCAUUCUUAGUCUAAAGCUUCAGUCCAGGAAUUAGACAUGGCUCACUAGCCAGCCAAGCUUUCAAUGAAAGCUUCGGUCCAAAACACUAGACAUGGCCAAUGGCCAGCCAAGCUUCACCAUGUAAUUCAGACAUGACAUGCCUGACAUACCCUACAAUCGUAUAAGAGCUGAUGGUUGGAAGCCUCAGUCCAAAAGAAUUUAGACAUGGCUUUACAGCCAGCCAGGCUUCACAUGCUUCAUGAAACACUAGAAUUCAUUCUUUAAAAAUUUUGAAUCUAAUUUUUUUUUCGAAAACAUAAGAAAAAUUUUUGAAAUAUUUUUGAAAAAUUUUGAAAAUAAAAUAAAAAGAAAAGUACCUAAUCUGAGCAACAGGAUGAACCGUCAGUUGUCCAAACUCAAACAAUCCCCGGCAACGGCGCCAAAAACUUGGUGUUAUUGCCGGGAUUCAAACUUGGCACUGAUGUUACCGGACCAAAAGCUUGCCGAAAACUCAAACAAUCCCCGGCAACGGCGCCAAAAACUUGGUGCACGAAAUUGUGAUCUCCAGGCUCGAACAAAUCCUGGUAAUGGCUCCAAAGCUUGGUGCUCUGAUCUUAAUUCAUAAUUGUCACAACUUCGAUACAACUAACCAGCAAGUGCACUGGGUCGUCCAAGUAAUACCUUACGUGAGUAAGGGUCGAAUUUGGAGUUGAACGCCAGUUUCUGUGCCAGUUUGGGCGUUCAACUCUGGCUUUGGAUCCUUUUCUGGCGCUGGACGCCAGAUUUGGGCAGAAGGCUGGCGUUGAACGCUAGUUUACGUCGUCAAUUCUUGGCCAAAGUAUGGACUAUUAUAUAUUGCUGGAAAGCCCUGGAUGUCUACUUUCCAACGCAAUUGGAAGCGCGCCAUUUCGAGUUUUGUAGCUCCAGAAAAUCCGCUUUGAGUGCAGGGAGGUCAGAAUCCAACAGCAUCAGCAGUCCUUCUUCAACCUCUGAAUCUGAUUUCUGCUCAAGUCCCUCAAUUUCAGCCAGAAAAUACCUGAAAUCACAGAAAAACACACAAACUCAUAGUAAAGUCCAGAAAUGUGAAUUUAUCAUAAAAACUAAUGAAAACAUCCCUAAAAGUAGCUAGAUUCUACUAAAAACAUACUAAAAACAAUGUCAAAAAGCGUAUAAAUUAUCCGCUCAUCAAGAUUCUAGCAGCUUGCACCUCAAAGAUCCCUAGUUUCUCCAUUACAGAGAGUGGCAUUAAGUUUAUUCCUGACCCCAGGUCACACAGAGCCUUCUCAAAGGUCAUGGUGCCUAUGGUGCAGGGUAUUAAGAAUUUUCCUGGAUCCUGUUUCUUUUGAGGUAAUUUCUGCCUAUCCAAUGCAUUUAGUUCAUUGGUGAGCAAGGGAGGUUCAUCUUCCCAAGUCUCAUUACCAAAUAACUUGGCAUUCAGCUUCAUGAUUGCACCAAGGUAUUUAGCAACUUCCUCUUCAGUAAUGUCUUCAUCCUCUUCAGAGAAAGAAUACUCAUCAGAGCUCAUGAAAGGCAGAAGGAGGUUCAAUGGAAUCUCUAUGGUCUCUAGAUGAGUCUCAGAUUCUUUUGGUUCCUCAAAGGGAUACUCCUUAUUGGUCACUGGACGUCCCAGGAGGUCUUCCUCACUAGGAUUCACGUCCUCCUCUUCCCUUGUAGGUUCGGCCAUGAUGGUCAAUUCAAUGGCCUUACACUCUCUCUUUGGAUUCUCUUCUGUAUUGCUUGGGAGAGUACUUGGAGGGAUUUCAGUGACUCUUUUACUCAGCUGGCCCACUUGUGCCUCCAAAUUCUUAAUGGAGGACCUUGUUUCAUUCAUGAAACUCACAGUGGCCUUAGAUAGAUCAGAGACUAUAUUUGCUAAGCUAGAUGAAUUCUGCUCAGAAUUCUCUGUCUGUUGCUGAGUGGAUGAUGGAAAAGGCUUGCUAUUGCUAAACCUGUUUCUUUCACCAUUAUUAAAGCCUUGUUGAGGCUUUUGUUGAUCCUUCCAUGAGAAAUUUGGAUGAUUUCUCCAUGAGGGAUAAUAGGUGUUUCCAUAGGGUUCACCCAUGUAAUUCACCUCUGCUAUUGCAGGGUUUUCAGGAUCAUAAGCUUCUUCUUCAGAAGGUUGUGCUUUAGCUUCCCUUAGCUUCCUCUUCAGAGUCCUUUCAGGUUCAAGAUCAACCUCAAUAAGAAUGUUCUUAUCCUUGCUCCUGCUCAUAUGAAAAAGAAGAAAACAGAAAAAAAAAUAUAGAAUCCUCUAUGUCACAGUAUAGAGAUUCCUUUAUGUGAGUAGAAGAAUAUAUGAAUAGAAGAAGGAGAAUUCAAACACAAGGGUGAGGAGUAGGUUCGAAUUCUUGGGUGAAAAAGGAAUGUUAGUAGAUGAAUAAAUAAAUAGAAGAAUUUUCGAAAAUUAGAUAAAAUAAAAUAAAAGUAUUUUUGUUUUUAAAUUAAAAAUUAAAAUUAAAAAUUCAAAACUUAAUCAAGGAAAAUUAAAUCAAAUUAAUUAAAUUUAAAACAAUUAGUUAAUUUAAAAAGGAAUUUUGAAGAAGAGGGAAGGGAUUUUCAAAAAUUAGAGAGAGAGAGAGAGUUAGUUAGGUAGUUUUGAAAAGAUAUGAUUGAAAUAAUAAACUUUUAAAAUCGAACAAAAAGUCAAGUAGUUAAUUAAAAAAGAUUUGAAAAUCAAUUUUUGAAAAGAUAAGAAGUUAGAAAAGAAGUUGGAAAAGAUUUUGAAAUUGAUUUUGAAAAAGAUGUGAUUGACAUUUAUUUUGAAAAAGAUUUGAAAAAGAAAUUUAAAAAGAUUUGAUUUUUGAAAUCAAAGUUGAUUACUUGACUAACAAGAAACUUGAAGAUAUGAUUUUAAAAUUUAAAAAUUGAACCUUUCUUAAUAGGCAAGUAACAAACUUAAAAAUUUUGAAUCAAUCACAUUAAAUGUUAACAUUGAAUUCGAAAAAGAUAAGAAAAAGAUUUUGAAAAUCAAUUUGAAAUUUUCGAAAAUAUGAAAGAAAAAAUGAAAAAGAUUUGAGUUUUGAAAAAGAAUUGAAAAAGAUAAAAUUUUUAAAUUGAAAAUUUGAUUUGACUCAUAAGAAACAACUAAAUUUUAAAAAAUUUUGAAAAAGUCAACUCAAAUUUUCGAAAAUUUAUGAGUGAAAAAGGGAAAGAUAUUUUUUUAAUUUUUAAACUUUUAAUGAUGAGAGAGAAAAAUACCAAAAAGACUCAACGCAUGAAAAUUGUGGAUCAAAACAAAUGAUGCAUGCAAGAACACUAUGAAUGUCAAGAUGAACACCAAGAACACUUUGAAGAUCAAGAUGAACAUCAAGACUUAUUUUUGAAAAUUUUUUAGAAAAGAAAAACAUGCAAGACACCAAACUUAGAGAUUUUUCAUGUUUAGAUACUAUGAAUGCAAAAAUGCAUAUGAAAAACAACAAAAGACACAUAACAAGAAAAUAUGAAGAUCAAACAAGAAGACUUGUCAAGAACAACUUGAAGAUCAUGAAGAACACAUGCAUGAGUUUUCGAAAAAUGCACAAAUUUUAAAAAUAUGCAAUUGACACCAAACUUAAAAACUGACACAAGAUUCAAGCAAGAAACACAAAAAUUAUUUUUGAUUUUAUGAUUUUAUAAUAUUUUUUUUUUUGGAUUUUUCGAAAAUUAUUUUGGAAAAACGAAAAAAGAAUAAAUUUUUUUAUAUUAUUUUCGAAAAUAAGAAAUAAAAAGCUUAAAAAUAAAAUAAAAUUACCUAAUCUGAGCAACAAGAUGAACCGUCAGUUGUCCAAACUCGAACAAUCCCCAGCAACAGCGCCAAAAACUUGGUGCGCAGAAAUCGUGACGGUUCCAUUCCUUGGUAACGGCGCUAAAAACUCAAUACGCACGUUCAUAAUCUUAGUUCUUUGUCACAACUUCGCACAACUAACCAACAAGUGCACUAGGUCGUCCAAGUAAUAAACCUUACGUGAGUAAGGGUCAAUCCCACGGAGAUUGUCGGCUUGAAGCAAGCUAUGGUAUAGGAUCCAUUGAUCCUUUUGCGUCUGUCACUAUGCCCAGCACUCGCGAGUUUGAAGCUCGUCGCAGCCAUCCCUUCUCAGAUCCUACUCGGAAUACCACAGACAAGAUUUAGACUUUCCGGAUCUCAAGAAUGGUCGUCCAUGGAUUCUAACUUAUACCACAAAGAUUCUGAUUAAGGAAUCCCAGAGAUACUCAUUCAAUCUAAGGUAGAACGGAAGUGGUUGUCAGGCACGCGUUCAUCGGUUGGGAAUGAUGAUGACUGUCACGAUCAUCCAUUCAUAUUGAAAUGCGAAUGAAUAUCUUAGAAUCAGAAUAAGCUUGAAUUGAAUAGAAAAACGAUAGUACUUUGUAUUAAUUCAUGAGGAUCAGCAGAGCUUCACACCUUAAUCUAUGGUGUGUAGAAACUCUACCGUUGAAAAUACAUAAGUGAUGAAGGUUCAGGCAUGGCCGAAUGGCCAGCCCCCAAACGUGAUCUAAAGAUGAAACUAAAGAUGUAAAUACAAUAGUAAAAAGUCCUAUUUAUGCUAAACUAGUUACUAGGGUUUAUAGAAAUGAGUAAAUGAUGUAGAAAUCCACUUCCGGGGCCCACUUGGUGUGUGCUUGGGCUGAGCAUUGAGCUUUACACAUAUAGAGGCUUCUCUUGGAGUUGAACGCCAGUUUGUAACCUGUUUCUGGUGUUUAACUCCACUUUGCAACCUGUUUCUGGCGUUUAACUCCAGAAUGCAGCAUAGAACUGGCGUUGAACGCCAGUUUGCAUCAUCUAAACUCGGGAAACGUAUGGACUAUUAUAUAUUUUUGGAAAGCCCUGGAUGUAUACUUUCCAACGCAAUUGAGAGCGCACCAUUUGGAGUUCUGUAGCUCCAGAAAAUCCACUUUGAGUGCAGGGAGGUCAGAAUCCAACAGCAUCUGCAGUCCUUCUUCAACCUCUGAAUUUGAUUUUUGCUCAAGUCCCUCAAUUUCAGCCAGAAAAUACUUGAAAUCACAUAAAAACACACAAACUCAUAGUAAAGUCCAGAAAUGUGAUUUUUAUUUAAAAACUAAUAAAAAUAUACUAAAAACUAACUAAAUUAUACUGAAAACUAUGUAAAAACAAUCCCAAAAAGCAUAUAAAUUAUCCACUCAUCAAACACCCGUUGUGGGUCAAAUGAACUUGGAUAUUAGCUAUUACAGUUUUUUUGUUAGUAAUGCAAUGCUAUGUUAUGUAUUACUUAACCAACUUUAAUUUCGUAAACACCUUGCAAAACACGUACAGGGCAAUGCAAUCAUUCAUAUAAAUGAACUGUGAAUUUUUUUUUUUUGGUGCAACAAUACAACACACUUUUUCAUUCCUUUAUCAAUUCUUACAACUUAGAACAGCAAAACUCAACACAAUGACAAUAACACAAAUACACCAUCUUAUUGAGUUUUUUUUCAUCUCUAGAGCUACUAUCCUCUUCUCCAAGCAUGUGAUCUUCAUUUCCAUGUCUUGCUUCCCGUGAUAAUCUUCAACAUCCACAAAUUCCUUCUUUCUCAUAUACUUUGUUUCUAUCAAUCCAAGUCCAACAUCGUGCUCAUCAAGCCACAAAAAAAAAUUUGCAAUACGGUUGUCUUGCCUGCAGCAAAUCAAUCCACAUAAUUCAAAAACAAAAAACUGGUAACCCUAACACAUCUUCAAGCACACCUUCCACACAGUCGGUUACCAUACCUUGUAAAAGGGACAGCCCAGAAACAAUCUGUCCAGAUUGCUUCGCGUCUUCGACAUGAAAAGGAUUGCGUUUUCUCCACAAAAGCACGUUGGUGAGAUGCCAUCUUUGCCAUCCUUCCCGUUAGGAUGCGAGCUCGAGCCGAACUAACCUCCACUUCUUUUCCAACUUGAUAAUACUCCUUCAGAUGCCAUGGAAGGAAGAAUUUCCUUUAUUCCUCUACUCCCCACAACACCCACUUCGCCGUUUCUGUGCAGACGAGGGAUUAGGGCAAAGAAAUUUGAAAAAUUGGGGGAGGUAACGAAACGGCGUCGUUUUCGUCUCCAGGGACUUAUAUGUCCUGUUUUGAAAAGCUCCUUGCCACGUGGGCUCCAUAAUGGCCAGGUCAGCGCCACCUCUGCCAGGUCAGAAUUUUCCGUCCAGUCCAAAUGCCUGAAUUCAACGGAAGGGUCGAAAUGUCCACGUUUUUCGGGGGUGAGAGACUUGAAUGUAUUUUUCCUUCCUUGAGGACAAUAAUGUCCACAAAAAAAGGUCAGGAACCUAUUUGUUCUUUAAUCUUUAAAAUAAUAUCCACCAAUUAAAAGAUAACAAGCUUUCUGCAUCUGACCCAAAAAAAUCAAAUAAUAACCCUUAAUGGACCUUAAUAUACCUUCAGCAAAAAUUAUCAUUGAGUUUUGAUCUGUUAAUAAAAAAUUUGUACUGACUUCAGACUGGUAAAAUUGGGCUUGCCAUUGGCCCACUACAGACCACAAGGGUCUCCAAUGCAUAGCCUCAUUUGUCACCUCUCUCAGAAUUGUAUCUCUUCUCCCCUUUUUCCGGAAAUAGAUAUUUUCAAUUUUUUUUAAUACUUGAGGGAAUAAAGUGUGAUCUCUCACCAUUAAUUUUAUAAGUGGGACUAAAAAUAAAUAUGAGAGAGAGCAAUAAAGGGUUAGAUUAAACAAUUCACGCCAUCCACUUUUUCUCCACUGGAGAGGAUCUGCUCCCCCUUUUCCUCGUGCUCUGCUUCCUUCAUCCACCUUGUUCUAAAUCCAUACUCGUGGUUCCAUGAAAAAAUCGCCACCGCAACUCCAUCCCCCACACAGCUGGCCGUCGCAAGCUCACAUGGGGAACCGGUACUACCUUUCCACUCCCGUCUCUUCGCUGUUCGUUGUUCGCUAUUCACAUGGAGGAAACGGCACUGCUUUCCAGCUCCCUUUGCCACUGCCUGCCGUUGCAGUUGUGUCCUCUGUUUCAGUUCCAAGGGAAGACAGCUGUUAUGAGUGGUGGUGGCUUGGCCACUAACAAAGAGAUGCAACAGACCCAAACUCCACCGGUCACCGCUGUUGUUCUGCCCUCUGUCUUCAUUGACGCUGUUUUCCCCUCCACCGUCGUGAGUUUUCGCUCGUCCAUCGCGGAAGCACCGACCUCGGCGCUGCUCCUAACUUUGUUGUCUUCGCAGAAUCGCCACAGAUCGCGGCCGUACUCAUCAUCUGUGGCGGUCGUCCGCGGGUUCGGCGCCGCCCUUGGAAGAAAUCGCCAAUUGUCCUCGGCCAUAACCGUUUCCUCCAAAUGCACCAAAUGUAGAUCUAGGUGUUCUUCUCCUGUGUGUUCUGGAAUGAGAGGUAAUUUUGAUUGCAGUUCUGGAAUUGAAUUCUAGAAUCUUGCUUGAACUGAAAUUGCUGUUGAUUCUACAGGUUGAAAUUCAAAAUUGAAAGCUAAUUCUUCUUCUUCGGUCAAAUCUGUUGCUUCUUCUUCAUUUUCUUCAAAAAUAAACAAGGAAGAAUGAAUUAUUGCUCGAUUUGCCAGCUCUGUUGAUUUUAUUUUUUGUUGAGGUUGAAUUGUAAAAUUGAAAUCUGUUGCUUCCUGUUCUGUGUAUGCAGAAGUCAUUGCUAAGUCCAAAAGUUUUGGUGCUGCAUUCUUGACUUGUGCAUCUGAUAUUUGUUGAAUUUUCUAUCUCUGAAAUUUCUGCUUCUAGAUUUUGGUUGAAUUGUCUACUUCUAGUUUAUCUAGAAUUGUUAGAUCCAGUGUGUCUAUUGAUGAUUUUGUUGCUGCAUUCUCUAAUUCUUUAUUCUCAUAAAUCGAGUAUGAAUUUUGGAAUUGCAGAACUGGAAUUGAUGAAUUUGCUAUUUCUGAAUUUGUUGAAAUAUUGAUGAUUGGGUGAGAAUCUGAUGCUGAUUUGGCUUGAAUCUAUUGAUUAGCGUUCAAGGUCGCACAAAUUUUGGUGCAAGUUGUUUGAAUUUCUUCAAGUAUCUUGGUACGUUCUUGAUAAUAUGAAUUUAAGCUUUGUAAAUUAGUUUGAAUUUAUCUCAAAUGGAAUCCGCAGAAUUACUAUGAGAGUUUAGUAUGGUGAGAAGAGAGAAUUAGAGAUAAUAAAAAAGAAUAGAAGAAAAAUCUUUAGAAGUAGGACAAAAGAAAAAAAAUAGAAUUUUUAAUUAUAUCAUACAUAUUUCACAUUAUUACAUCAUACUCUUAUUUAUAGUAUAAUUUUCAUUCUCUAGUUGGAUUAGCUCAAUACUAAUCCUAUCAAGAGCACACAACAAAAAUAGGUUGGGAAGCAACCAGUAAGUAAAAAGAGAGAGAAGAGGUUAAUUGAUAAAAAACAAAAACAAACAGAAAAAACAUUUUUUUUUAAAUUAAAAUUAUUUUUAAGGUUAAUUGAUUUUUUUUGAAAUAAUUUGAUGAUUUAAAUUUUAUUUUAGUCGUUACUGAGCUAUUAUGUAUGCUUGUUUCGUUAAUAAUAAACAUCAUCACUGUAUGAAUGUGGUGAUAGCUAGGUAAGGUUAUAUGAGCACCUUCGGUGUGCUCUUAUGGCUUUACCUGUGUUUUGCUACUGCAAAGUUUUAACCACCAUGAAAUAAAAGAUCUUCAAGUAUAUUAUGUUUUAAUUUCUUUGAAAUUAAUGAAAAUCAAACACUUC